rnacentral:lncRNA from 1 species
UAAUUUUGUUUUUUGACUAUUUUAAAUUUCAGAUUUCCCAUGAUACAAAGGAUUCUGUGACAUCAUUGUCUGUAUCAGAGCAUCAAAUAUUUUUUGUCAGCUAAAAGUCCUUUGAAAAUUUUCAAAUUCUGGCAUAUAAGUAACAGUCGAAGAAAAUUGUUGAGAUAGAGAGAACUUUUUAUCUUGGACAGGAAGAAACUGGACAAAACGGAAUAAAAUAAAAAUGACUAAUACAAUUGCUCAACAAUAGGUGUUAUAACUAAAACAAAUUAAAUUUAUAGUAACAGAAAGUUUAUCAUUAGGUUUGAGAAUUCAAUAUGGGCUUUUAAUUGUAUCUAUGUUCAGUAUGUGAUUUAUUGAUUUAGUAGUAUUAAUAAAAUUCAGUUAUGUUAUUUUGAUUGUUCUUUAAAUAUAAAAUUACAAUUUAAU